GGGUUCACAAAAGAUCCUUGGCAUUUCACGUGAAAUCAACCUCUUCUUCCUCUCAAAACAGACUCAGCAGCGACUCCUCCUUCUCUAGCUCGCGAUUUCGCCGCCGUACCCACAACCUGCGCCUUCAAAAUCCUUCGAUUUCCUUCGUCUACAUUCUCACAUUCAUCUCCGUCCGUCAUCCCACAGUAUCGUUGGCGUGCUUCUUAUCUGUUUGUGAUUCCGUCUCAAACGUGCCACGACUCUUCUCCUUUUCUUAUUUCCCUUCUGUUUUAGUUUUUGGUAUUUGCGUGUGCUUGUUAAUGAGGAUCUGUUGUAAUGCUGCAAUUUCUUGUUGUUACAGGUUGUAUUGUUGUGAUGUUGAACGUUACAAGGUGAAAUGGAUGAUUUGA